AUCGCUCUUUUCUUCCGGCUUCCUCUGCGAUUUGGAAGUCGCCACCGUGUAUCGCGCAGGCGCCCACCACGGCAGCACUCCUGCCGGUCCACCGCCUCGCCGCUUCUGCCUCGCGCUCUCGCACAACCUCGCCAGUCACCUCGCGCCCUUGCACAACCUCGCCAGUCGCCUCGACACCAGCCACCACUCCCACCAGGUUUGGCCUUCUUCAGUUCUUCGACUCUUCCAUUACUAAUGAACAUCAACUUCUCACAAUCUAUCCCUUGAAUUAUAAAUGUCAAUUUCAAUAAUUUAUUCAAUUGUUUGCCUAAUUUUCUUAAUUUUUUGUUUGCCCUAAUUUCUCUAAUUUUGUUUUUGCUUAAUUUCCCUAAUUUUGAAGUUACCCUAAUAAGCCUUAUUGGCUAAUUCAAUUGCUACUAUAGUUUUUUUCCUAAUUGCACUAAUUUUGUGAUUUUUUUUUUUUUUUAAUUUUGAUAUGAUUCACUGAUGCACUGUGGAUUACUGGAUUAUGCUUAUGAGUUUUUAAUUUGGCUGAUUCACUGUGGAUUACCGGCAGAUCAUAUGGUACAAUACGAUGAGGAGUUGAAGCUUCCAAGACAUACCUUGUUUCUCUCCCAAAACUUGACAGAGCUUCUGUGAAACGGUUAAAUUUGGACAUAAAGCAACCCUAUAUUGAAACAUGCAAGGCUGAUGAUCAAGCUGCCAAGGUGAUAAUGGCUCCAUGAUUGUUUGUCUUCUUCUUUGGGAUUCUCUAAACAUUUAGUUUGAGAUCAUGAAUCUUUAAUGAUUUUAGUUGAAUAGUUGAUGUAUACAUUGUUAGAACUUAUUAUCUAGUGAUUUAUGUUCAAGCCAAUUGAAGGCAUAUAAUAUGUUUGUUUUGAUAA